GAACAUUACACACUAUAGAGGGAUUUGAACACGGCCACAAGCAGCGGUGACCUUUGACCCUUCAUACCAGGGAGUUAGGACAGGGAGGCCAGGCUGGAUUGGGGAUAAAAGACACACACACACACACACACAUACCGGAUAACCUCCUCCAAUGCUGACACAGGAACAAAUAAAGAAUCAAUAUGAUUUGCAUUAUUUACGAAACAGAAAUAAUUCUGACAUAAAUGUGACAAAAACGCCUGCAUCCAUUCAGGCCUCAGCUUGUUGAUUACUGAUGUCAAUGUAAUUGCCCCAUUGCCAAAGUUGACAGAUUCUCUCACCUCAGUUCGGGGAUAUGUGUCAAACGUCAGAUGGAUGAACAUAUUGCCUUGCUGCAGGGCACGCAGGCACUAGAGGCUGUAUGUUAGCCAGAUAGGAGUGGAACAGCUUCUUUUCUUCUGCUCUUCAAGUGAAGUUUCUCUGAUUGGGUGCGUGGAAAAUAUAAUGGGCCACUUUUGUUUGUGUGUGUGUGUGUGUGUGUGUGUGUGUGUGUGUGUGGGGUGGGCAACUGCUAGAUAAGGUUUUCUCUCAACUCUUACUUCUUUAUGUCUCGUAUUGCAAAAAGGCAGAAUCACUAUCUUGAUUUGAAAUGUGGCCAUUAUGUCUAUAGUGACUUUAAAUUCCUUAGUUUGAUUCAUAUUUGCAUCGAGAAAGAUACAGGGAGCUUCUCAGUAUUGUAGUUAUUUUCUGUUUUUUGUACAGUUCCAUGGUUCAUUGGGACUUAUUUGGAUUAAAACCAAUCUUUAUCAUUAGCAUAAUAUUAUUGUGAUGUAAAAUGAUUUUACUUUUUUAUUAUUUUAUUUCGUGGUGUUUCUUUAUCCCAUCAAUCUGUUUGCUGGAUGAUGCAUGGCUCACAAGGGUUUUGCUAAGAUAUUAGCUGGAAAGUGUCCUGUUAAAUAUGUUUUUCUCUCUCAAGCCAUCUUUGUCAAAAAAUGCUCCUGUUGAUCCGAUACGAUCUGCAUGGUGCAGUAAAUCCUCGAUAAUAAUUUGGCCUGAUUGAGACUUGUUUGGAGUGUAAUCUGAGUUGCUUCUCACCCUCUGGGCCAAAGAGCGCCUGAAACUAGCUUUUAAAUAUGGCUGUUUUCAUGUAUACGUUGAAGUACAAAGGUCACCAAGCAUCACCCCGAAUUUAUACUUUUACACAACUAAUGAAUGCAUUCUAAUAGCGCCAUCUUUUGAAUGUCCACGACGUGAGGAACUUUAGGUCCUACAGGUCGCACUAUGUCACCGUAUUUGAGUUAUUUUUGUAUCUUUAUAAUUCUUCUUGUGACCUCUCUCAGAAAUGACCCGAGACCUGCAGCUUACCUCCGGUUCAUCCAACCAUCGUGACCCGCGUUUCCAAAUCGCCUCCCUGGACUCGAGGCUUAUAAUGCCGGCGAACGGAUUUGUGAAUGUAUGAUUGGAUGACGCGUUAAUUCAUGUGCGACUUUCA
ensembl:lncRNA